CCUACGGGUGGCUGCAGUGAGGAAUAUUGGUCAAUGGACGAGAGUCUGAACCAGCCAAGUAGCGUGAAGGAUGACUGCCCUAUGGGUUGUAAACUUCUUUUAUAUGGGAAUAAAAUGUUCCACGUGUGGGAUUUUGUAUGUACCAUAUGAAUAAGGAUCGGCUAACUCCGUGCCAGCAGCCGCGGUACUACGGAGGAUCCGAGCGUUAUCCGGAUUUAUUGGGUUUAAAGGGAGCGUAGGUGGAUUGUUAAGUCAGUUGUGAAAGUUUGCGGCUCAACCGUAAAAUUGCAGUUGAAACUGGCAGUCUUGAGUACAGUAGAGGUGGGCGGAAUUCGUGGUGUAGCGGUGAAAUGCUUAUAUAUCACGAAGAACUCCGAUUGCGAAGGCAGUUCACUGGACUGCAACUGACACUGAGGCUCGAAAGUGUGGGUAUCAAACAGGAUGAGAUACCCUAGUAGUC
rnacentral:rRNA from 1 species